CAAAAUACCCAACUGCAACGUGAGCCGGAGGAGUCGCGGCACCGGAGAGCCCCGUCCCCGAAAAUGACUGAAAACAGCUGACCUGAUGUGGACUACUGCGGCAGACAGCGGCGUAGUCGUCGGAUCACAGCAGAGCCACCGUGCCAGAAUUCUAAAAUUGGCCAAAAUGGGUCCUGAGAUUAAUUUAGGGUUUGUUUGGGACAUUUAUAAGUACUUAUAGCAUGUUUUGAUUUUUGAAGAAAAAUUCAGGGAACCUAGGGACCGCUAGUAGGUGCAGCCAAUAGUUUAGCCUUUUGGGCAUCAAAUUGACCUUACUGGACAUCCUAGGAGAUGGUGGACGGACUAGGUACACUGGGAACCCUACUGUGAACGUGUCUCAUACUGAACGGGGUAUUGAGACUUGGUAAUUGAGUACUCAUAUCGGACAGGGUAUGGGGACGACCAGUUCACCCUCAUUCCGGACGAUGUAUUGAGGUUUGGUAAUUUGACGCUCACACUGGACGAGAUAUGGGGACGGCCCGUAAUUGAGAAUAUUAAAGGAAAAGUUUCAUGCAUAGCGGGACAUCUCUAUGAACUCCCAUGGAUAUUAGCAGGCUGGUGAAAAAAGGAGCAAUUGUUGUUUGAUGAUUUGAAUAUGAAAGUAUAAUAUGUGCUGUGUUAUCAAUUAUAUAUGGGAUCAUGAUAUAUAUAAUGUCAUUGUUUCUAUAGAUUAUUUUC